UUCUCCCGCCCGUAACAAAAUCUUCCCAAAAUUUCAACCUUGAGAAACCCUAAAGCAAUCCCUCACUCCAUAUUCCAUAAGCGGUGGCGGCGCCUUCCCCUCCGAGACUCCGAAUCUCCACCUAGCUCUGCAUCUCUGCUUCCAUAUUUUCUUGCGCCGCCCCUUUUCAGAUCUAUUUGGUGUCAAUCAUCCUUCUCAGUUCUCACCAUACCAAUCCAUCUGGUUGCCCCUCAUCGGAUUGGAAUUUGGAUCUUCUGUCAAUAGUGCAGGGGAGGGAUUAGUGGAUCCUCGAUGGACAGCCGACGAAUCCACAUGAACAUCCUCUGCACCUGCCCCUUCCACACGGAGAUCAUCUUCAGGCAUGGAAGGUACAUACACAUCGGAGGAUUCAGAAGUACAAACAUGUGCUACCUGCUAAUAACUUCGGUUCCUUAAUUACUAUUGAUUUCAUUGGAAGUCUUUCCCAUCCCACAUGUGUUUCCAAGGAUCUUCUAAGGCCAUGAGGCCUAUGGGUAAGUUCCUCAGGUUCUGCUGCCGAUGAGUACGUGAAGGCAGCCGGGUACAACGAUGAAGGUAAGAGAUUUAACGAACACACAUACUCUUCAAUUUGGGCUGUGGUGCGUGCAGGGUGGUGAAGAGCUUGCCGGAGUAUACAGAGGGGUUCGUGGUUGGGGGACACACUAGCGCCCAAGUCCGUCGGUAGUGCGACUCGUGCAGCAGUAGAGCGUUAGAGUGGAACAAUGCCUGCUCUGUGCUGCCAUUGCUCGUCGGCCCCAGGAUGCUCCGCGACCGCACUACCCAGUUCAGGGACAGCCAAGGGGCGCUGCUCCUCGUCGUGUUACAAAAAAAUUGAUUUGUUCCAGACUUCCAGGUCAAUGUUAUUGGCACUGAACCUAGCUAACUACUAGUACUUAGCAGGCUAGUUUUGCUAUGAGAUAAACUGAUAUGCAGGGCUCAGAUGCUGAUUGCAAGGUCGAGAAUGAAGCUGCUACUAGAUAGUUCCACAUAAUGUUUUAGAUGUUUUUUGCCAGAUCAAUGCUUCAAACAGUAUAUAUUAAAUAGAAUAAGUAAGAUGUUGAUUGCAAGGUCAA